rnacentral:tRNA from 1 species
GGUGGGGUGGCCGAGUGGUUUAAGGCGCACGCUUGGAAAGCGUGUUUAGGUUUGUAGCCUAACGUGGGUUCGAAUCCCAUCCCCACCUCCA